AAGAAGAAGUAGAAGUUGAGGCUGCUUCAGAACCACAGGACACACAUGAAAAAGUGGAAAGUCGCGUCGUGGCCAACGCGGAGGAAGAACCGCAUUCUGGAGAAUCGCAAACGCCAAAAUCAGGUGGCGAGGAUUUUUCUGUAUCUCAGUCGAAUUUAUUUGACUUGUUGCAUGCGAUCGUGUGUCGGCACAGUGACAUAAGCAUCGAAACGAUAACAGAAGAUCCUGCCCAGUGCAUUCCGCGAUGCCGCGAAGCGAAGAUUCUGUUGAGGCACUCAGUGCAAUGCGAAGCGAACAAGAACGAGCAUUGUAACUAUUCAGAAAAGUGCUUGGUAUAUCGCGCAUUGUUAGGCCACUGGGUCAUGUGCUACAUUUCAGACUGUAAAAUAUGUUCGUCUAAGGAAGUAGGGAAAAUAUCUAGAGACUACUUCAUAGCGACGAAGGCUACAUUAGCUGCCAACAAGUAAUGAGAUUUUAAUGCCAUAUUCUUAAAGGCUCAUUGAAACCACGUUUUUGUUCCAAUCAAUUCUUGAUGGGCCAAAUAGGUGAUGUAAAUAAUUAUUUCCAUAAAAAUUUGUUGUGACGUGCGAGCAGAGGUGAAAAGCAAAACGCACUUUGCUUUGGCGCACGGGACGCAUGAACCUUUUGGUCACUACUGCGCAAGCGUUACCCCUCCGACGUCACAGCUGCCAAUGCCUUGCAUCUUAGUGGGGGUGACGCUUGCGCAGUAGCAAUCAAAAGGUUCGUGCGUUGCGCGCGCUUAAGAAACGUGCGUUUUGCUUUGCGCCUCUGCUCGCACCUCAGGAAUCGAUUGGAAUAUGAAAAUGUGGGAUUCAGUUGUUCUUUAAAAGGUGUUUUUGGUGUUUUCCUUAGUGACUGUAAAUCUUCAUAUGGUUCAAAUUUAGGAAGAUUCCGCUCAAGUUUAAACAUUAACUGCAGAUAAUUUAUUUCCACUCUGUUUUACACUUAUUUAGAGGUGAAAUUUCAAAUCGUCCUUCUCUGCCUGAUAAAAGUAAAAGUCGCGGCGACCGCACAAAAACUGUGAAACAAGAGGCAAAGACUUCUAUGCCACCGCAGUUAGCUGACUUCAAACUUUUAGGACAAGCGAUUGGCGGCACUGAAUGUAUUGAAGCCAGCUCUAGAGGCACGACGUCUGUCGGAGAUACCGAUCUUCGUGAGAUGGAAAUGGCACAAAUGGUACAAAUGGCACAAAUGAUACCGCAUGCCAGGGAUUGCAUGCAACACCCGAAGAUGAAAGGCGGACGGAAACAGAAGUGUUUGAAAAAGAACUGCGAAAGUGUGAAAUCAGCGUUAAAUCACAAGAAUGGGUGCCCGCAGUCGUGUAAACAGGAGAAUAUUUGCAGCAAGGUUCGCGAAAUAGAUGAAAUGAUGAAGACGAGAUAUUCAUAGAGGCAUUCUACGCAAUUUAUUCGAAAUUCAGAUAAUUUUGAUUGUACAAGCAUAAUCCAUGGAUUCAUUCCAUUUAUUGAUCUUGAAUCAAACGACUUGGCUCCCAAAGUACCUUGAAUUGAAUUGUGUGUGAAGUCCAAUACAAUUUUACAAUACGUGAACUGCAUUUUUUAUAUUUUUUUAUUUGUUGAUUUUAAUUUAAUUCGAUCCUUAUUCCUCUGCUAUGCUCUUAAAAUUCAUAACUUUUUUCACGUGCUUCAAACGAAAAUCAGUUCAGCCAAUCGCUGUGAAGAACCGGGAAAGCUUUUUCUUAAAAUUGUUUUCACGUUCGCCUAUAUGGAAUUUGGCUUAUCUAAAUAUAGUUUCAAGUAGCAGGACAUGCUCUUGUGGGCACUUCCCGCCACUACAAGUUAAAUAUCAAUAUUGGGAUAGCUC